UCAAUGAAAUAUUUCAUGAAUUCAUAUUCUUUUAUUCUUUCUGCGUUUUCUGUAUCCACGAUCAAUCGAUUAGCUCCGCUAGGGUUUCACUCCGCUCCGCUCUACCGCCUCUCCAUAGGGUUCAAUUCCGUUGCUCCACCGCCCCUACGUUAGGGUUCAAUUCUUCGUGCUCCACACUGUUUCGAUCCGUCAAACAUAAAUUCUGACAUCCACACCGUCACCGUGACCGAUCGAUUUUGAAAACAUCACCGUGAUCUCAUUUCAUCGCGGCUGGAUUACGGAAUUGAUCUCAUUGUAGUUGAGUGAAUUGAUUUGAUUAGUUGUAUUUGUUUGAUUGUUUACUUCAGAUUUUGAUUUCUAUAUUGAAGAAGAAUGGCAAUCAAUGAAUGUAUCUUUCUGUGAUUAAUCAGCCUUCUUCACAUGCAAGUCCGGAGUCGCUACAAGUUAGAUCAGUUACCGUUAGAUGCUCCACUGGUUCUGUCUCAAUCGGUCAGAUUUUAAAAUUUCAGCGUUUAUAGUGGACGAGCUGAUGGCAUGCUGCUGCUGCUUUUGGUGAUUAUAUAUUUGUGGCGGUCUACGUGGAGGCUACGGACCUUAUGGUUGCUGCACCAGUUGUAUAAAUCGUACGAGCUCAUCAUCUUAGUUAAAAUGCUAAAGCCUCAAUGACGAGUGUAUCACCACCGGACCUCUUAGCAUCAAAAAACAAGCACGCCGUAGUUUGAUGACAGAUUUUAACAAAGACUUCCAUGGCCCUCAGGAGUACCAUACCAGCGACAAAAAGAGUUGAGAGAAUUGUGGAGUGACUUUUGCUCUGGUACCUUAAGAACAUAAGAAUUUAGUUCAUACUGAGAUCAUUUAUUUUCUACAAUUCAAGACUGUAUUGGUGCAUCAAUCGCAUGACCCUAUCCAUUCAUCUCGGUAGUCGAUGAGGAUUGAGGACGCAUGAUGACUCAAGAUUUUAUGCUUCUUAUUUCUUUAAUUGCUCUUAAUUUUUUUGUUAAAUGUUAAGACUUUAUGUUAGAUAAUGUUAUAAAUAAUUUAUGGUUAGUGUUUUUGUU